GUCCGCUUAGCUCAGCUGGCUAGAGCAACCGACUCUUAAUCGGUGGGUCCAGAGUUCAAAUCUCUGAGCGGGCACCA
rnacentral:tRNA from 1 species